rnacentral:rRNA from 1 species
UGCAAGUCGAGGGGCAGCGGGUGGAGUAUUUCGGUACUCCUGCCGGCGACCGGCGCACGGGUGCGUAACGCGUAUGCAACCUACCUUUAACAGGGGGAUAAUCCGAAGAAAUUUGGUCUAAUACCCCAUAAUAUCAUUUAAGGCAUCUUAGAUGGUUGAAAAUUCCGAUGGUUAGAGAUGGGCAUGCGUUGUAUUAGCUAGUUGGUGAGGUAACGGCUCACCAAGGCUACGAUACAUAGGGGGACUGAGAGGUUUUCCCCCCACACUGGUACUGAGACACGGACCAGACUCCUACGGGAGGCAGCAGUGAGGAAUAUUGGUCAAUGGACGCAAGUCUGAACCAGCCAUGCCGCGUGCAGGAUGAAGGUGCUAUGCAUUGUAAACUGCUUUUGUACGAGGGUAAAUGCAGGUACGUGUACCUGUUUGAAAGUAUCGUACGAAUAAGGGUCGGCUAACUCCGUGCCAGCAGCCGCGGUAAUACGGAGGACCCGAGCGUUAUCCGGAUUUAUUGGGUUUAAAGGGUGCGUAGGCGGAUUAGUAAGUUAGAGGUGAAAGCUCGAUGCUCAACAUCGAAAUUGCCUCUGAUACUGUUAGUCUAGAGUAUAGUUGCGGAGGGCGGAAUGUGUGGUGUAGCGGUGAAAUGCUUAGAUAUCACACAGAACACCGAUUGCGAAGGCAGCUUUUCCAAGCUAUUACUGACGCCGAUGCACG